rnacentral:rRNA from 1 species
UACGUAGGGACCGAGCGUUGUCCGGAAUCAUUGGGCGUAAAGAGCUCGUAGGCGGUUUGUCGCGUCUGCUGUGAAAACUCGGGGCUUAACCCCGGGCCUGCAGUGGGUACGGGCAGGACUAGAGUGCGGUAGGGGAGACUGGAAUUCCUGGUGUAGCGGUGAAAUGCGCAGAUAUCGGGAGGAACACCGGUGGCGAAGGCGGUUCUCUGGGCCUGUACUGACGCUGAGGAGCGAAAGCGUGGGGAG